rnacentral:misc_RNA from 1 species
GGAAGUAAAAGUCGUAGCAAGGUUUCCGUAGGUGAACCUGCGGAAGGAUCAUUCAUAAUAAAGUGUUUUAUGGCACUUUUUAAAAAUCCAUAUCCACCUUGUGUGCAAUGUUAGAUCUCGUCAAUCUUGGCGAGAUUUUUAUACAUCAACUCAUUCUUUAACUAAUUUGUCUGAAAAAUAUUAUGAAUACUUAAUUCAAAAUACAACUUUCAACAACGGAUCUCUUGGCUCUC